UAUAUUAUAAAUGUUGAACUUUAAUAAUCAGAUGCAUAACAUAAGAAAGAAAAUUCGGAUCUAUUAUUAUGCUUUUGCUUUUAUAUUUUGUCAGUACCAGAGACAGGCUCCAAACUUGAUUUCUUUGCAACCGAGCUUCUACUUUCAACUUUGGGAGGUGAGUGUGAUAAGAACUUUGGUGGUGGGGGAGGUAUGUUUCUUGGGGGAGGUGGUGGAGCACUUGAUUUCUUCAAAUCAAUGUCCCCAUUCUCGAUUUUGGCAGCUGAUUGUGGCAACGAGAACUUUGGUGGUGGGGGAGGCAUAUUCCGUGGAGGUGGUGGCGGCAUGCCAUUUGACCUAGGCUCAACCAGCUUUGAUGGUGGCAUGGACGUAACACUCCCUAAACCUGAAUCCUCUGA
rnacentral:lncRNA from 1 species